rnacentral:rRNA from 1 species
CAGCCGCCACGGGAAUACGUAGGGUCCGAGCGUUGUCCGGAAUUACUGGGCGUAAAGAGCUCGUAGGUGGUUUGUCGCGUUGUUCGUGAAAACUCACAGCUUAACUGUGGGCGUGCGGGCGAUACGGGCGGACUAGAGUACUGCAGGGGAGACUGGAAUUCCUGGUGUAGCGGUGGAAUGCGCAGAUAUCAGGAGGAACACCGGUGGCGAAGGCGGGUCUCUGGGCAGUAACUGACGCUGAGGAGCGAAAGCGUGGGGAGCGAACAGGAUUAGAUCCCCAGUAGUCCCUGUCUCUUAUACA